AUUGAACGCUGGCGGCAGGCUUAACACAUGCAAGUCGAGCGAGCGGCGGACGGGUGAGUAAUGUCUGGGAAACUGCCUGAUGGAGGGGGAUAACUACUGGAAACGGUAGCUAAUACCGCAUACCAUCAGAUGUGCCUAGAUGGGAUUAGCUAGUAGGUGGGGUAAUGGCUCACCUAGGCGACGAUCCCUAGCUGGUCUGAGAGGAUGACCAGCCCCGCUGGAACUGGGGCACGGUCCGGACUCCUACGGGAGGCAGCAGUGGGGAAUAUUGCACGAUGGGAGCAGGCCUGAUGCAGCCAUGCCGCGUGUGUGAAGAAGGCCUUCGGGUUGUAAGGCACUUUCGGCGAGGAGGCGUUACUCGCAGAAGAAGCACCGGCUAACUCCGUGCCAGCAGCCGCGGUAAUAC
rnacentral:rRNA from 1 species